AUGUAUUUAAGAGUAAACUUUCAAUGCUUCUACCAAAUCAAAGUAGAGCUUAACAGCAAAGUUCUACCCUUCAUCUUCUACCCAUGGAGCAUUUUGCACCAAGAUACUGCAAAGCAAAUACAACUUCCUGGAAUGUAUACAGGCACCUUGAAUGCUGAAGUCUUACUGUUAAGUUAGUAUUUUACCUGCAGUGCUCUUUGAAUUCUACUUGAAGUACAUAUCCAGUACCAGGUUAUUGUGAUUCAUUUUUUUUAUUCAUGCUCCUUUUUAUUGAAAUACUUUUUCUAAAGAGUUCAUGUGUGAAUUCUUGUCAGUACUUGAAGUUUUUUUGUAUUUAUUUCUGUAGGUUUUUUGUUUCUCCUUGUUGUGGCCUUGGGGAAAGGUGACUCAGAAUAUAUGGGAAGGCACUUUGAAAUUUGAAGUUACUUAGCAGUGCUGAGUCUGCAGUAGCAAAGUGCUGCAAGAGGCAGAUUCAAAACUGAAGAUCUUCUGGGGGGGAAGCUGGCAGCUGUUAAUUUUCACCUAUGACUUAAUUUACGAUUUAAGUAGCAGUGUUGGUCUGUGUUUGGCCUGAGCUGUGGGAGAUGAUGCUGGAAUAAUAUGAUGCUGUUCUUUCUGUAGCUCUACCUGGAGUUGUACCUUCUCAUUUGCACUACUUGCAGUAUUCGUGGAUGUUGAGUACAUAUUUAUUCUCUAAAACUGAUUCCACUUGAAGCUUCAUUCUCUUAGGAAUCAGUAACUCACCCUUGCAUAUUUUUGUUUCACCUCUUGAAGGUGAGGAGAGAAGAAAGUAGCUUCUACUGUGGUCCUGGCUUUGUUUAUGUUAAACAUGAAUAUACAAAAAAAAAAAAAUUAGAAAAUUCAGCCUCAUAAAACUUUCCUGGUUGUCCAGAGAGGUUGAGGAGUUAGUUCCUAAGUUCUCAAGUAUAUUUUAAGCAUGUCUAAAAGUGCUUGAUGUUUUAUGCACCAAUUAAUAGAGUAUUGAAGUCACUUUAAUAUCUACAAGAUAAGAAAGCAUGUGUUGCCCCUCAGAUAAUGCAAGAUCUGAUGAGAGCUUUACCAUAGCAAUGGUUUUCUAUAAGUAGGUAGAAAAAACAAAUUCCUAGAAAACAUAGUAUAAUAGUCAACACAGUGAGACAAAUCCUUUUGUUGCUCUGGUUCUUAGCAUUCUUGUGCUUUACUUACUAUCUUUAUCUAAAGAUAAUAACGAUAAUCUUCAUGUAAGCCAAGUUGUAAAGGGAAUAAAUGCAUUACACAAAAUGAGUAAAUCCGUCUG
rnacentral:lncRNA from 1 species